rnacentral:lncRNA from 1 species
GAACAAGACCCACACACUGUCUGGGAUCCUAAACGUCCUCCUGGCAUUGCAGGGAGCUCCUGGUGUGCGGGGGCUGCAUGGUAUGCCUGGGAAGCCUGGCUUAGCGGGGGAAAUAGGAGCACCUGGAGCAGCAGGGGCUGCUGGCCCUCCUGGGUACCCGGGCCGAGAAGGUCCAAGAGGACCUGAGGGGCCUUCGGGGAUGCGAGGCGAGCAGGGUGUCCUGGGGGAUCCCGGGGAAGCUGGCGUCAGUGGGCUGGAUGGUGAGCAGGGACCUCCAGGACCUGUGGGAGCUGAGGGGCGGCCGGGGCUCAAGGGCCAGCAGGGCGAUGCAGGACCUCGUGGAGCUCCGGGUGUCAGCGGUGCUUGUGGGGAGCGAGGGGAACGUGGGCCAGCAGGGCUGCCAGGGGGGCCCGGGCAGCAGGGAAAGGAGGGGGAUGUUGGUGAUGCUGGAGAGCUGGGUGAGCCGGGACCGCGGGGACGAA